CCUACGGGUGGCAGCAGUGAGGAAUAUUGGUCAAUGGGCGCGAGCCUGAACCAGCCAAGUCGCGUGAGGGACGACGGUCCUAUGGAUUGUAAACCUCUUUUGUCGGGGAACAAAGGCCGCCACGCGUGGCGUUCUGAGAGUACCCGAAGAAAAAGCAUCGGCUAACUCCGUGCCAGCAGCCGCGGUAAUACGGAGGAUGCGAGCGUUAUCCGGAUUUAUUGGGUUUAAAGGGUGCGUAGGCGGACGUUCAAGUCAGCGGUAAAAUUGCGAGGCUCAACCUCGUAUAGCCGUUGAAACUGGCAGUCUUGAGUGGGCGAGAAGUAUGCGGAAUGCGUGGUGUAGCGGUGAAAUGCAGAGAUAUCACGCAGAACUCCGAUUGCGAAGGCAGCUUACUAAACUGCCACUGACAUUGAUGCACGAAAGUGUGGGUAUCAAACAGGAUUAGAUACCCGUGUAGUC
rnacentral:rRNA from 1 species